UACGAAGGGUGCAAGCGUUACUCGGAAUUACUGGGCGUAAAGCGUGCGUAGGUGGUUUGUUAAGUCUGUUGUGAAAGCCCCGGGCUCAACCUGGGAAUGGCAAUGGAUACUGGCAAGCUAGAGUGCGGUAGAGGGUAGUGGAAUUCCCGGUGUAGCGGUGAAAUGCGUAGAUAUCUGGAGGAACAUCAGUGGCGAAGGCGGCUUCCUGGUCCAACACUGACACUGAGGCGCGAAAGCGUGGGGAGCAAACAGG
rnacentral:rRNA from 1 species